rnacentral:rRNA from 1 species
GCCUUACAUGCAGUCGAACGGUUAACGCGGGGCAACCUGGCGACGAGUGGCGAACGGGUGAGUAAUGCAUCGGAACGUGCCCAGUAGUGGGGGAUAGCCCGGCGAAAGCCGGAUUAAUACCGCAUACGACCUACGGGUGAAAGCGGGGGACCGCAAGGCCUCGCGCUAUUGGAGCGGCCGAUGUCAGAUUAGGUUGUUGGUGGGGUAAAGGCCUACCAAGCCGACGAUCUGUAGCUGGUCCGAGAGGACGACCAGCCACACUGGGACUGAGACACGGCCCAGACUCCUACGGGAGGCAGCAGUGGGGAAUUUUGGACAAUGGGGGCAACCCUGAUCCAGCCAUGCCGCGUGCGGGAAGAAGGCCUUCGGGUUGUAAACCGCUUUUGUCAGGGAAGAAACGCUCUGGGCUAAUACCCCGGGGUAAUGACGGUACCUGAAGAAUAAGCACCGGCUAACUACGUGCCAGCAGCCGCGGUAAUACGUAAGGUGCAAGCGUUAAUCGGAAUUACUGGGCGUAAAGCGUGCGCAGGCGGUCGUGCAAGACAUGAUGUGAAAUCCCCGGGCUUAACCUGGGAACUGCAUUUGUGACUGCACGGCUGGAGUGCGGCAGAGGGGAUGGAAUUCCGCGUGUAGCAGUGAA